rnacentral:rRNA from 1 species
UGUCUUUUUGAAAAUAAUAUAAAGUCUAAUCUGCCCACUGAUUUAAAUUAAAGGGCUGCAGUAUAUUGACUGUACAAAGGUAGCAUAAUCAUUAGUCAUUUAAUUGAUGACUUGUAUGAAAGAUUGGAUGAAAUAUAAACUGUCUCUCAAUUAAAAAUAGAAUUUAAUUUUUUAAUUAAAAAGUUAAAAUAAUUUAAAAAGACGAGAAGACCCUAUAGAGUUUUAUAAAUAAAUUAAUUAAGGUUAUUUAUUAAAAUUAAAAUUAAUUUAUUUAUUCUAUUGGGGUGAUAGAAAAAUAUAUUUAACUUUUUUUUUAUGAAAACAUUUAUAAGUGAUUAAAUGAUCCAUUAUUAAUGAUUAUAAGAAAAAAUUACCUUAGGGAUAACAGCGUAAUUUUUUUUUUUAGUUCACAUAAGAAAAAGAGUUUGCGACCUCGAUGUUGGAUUAAGAUAAAAUUUAAAUGCAGAAG